UACAGAGGGGGCAAGCGUUGUUCGGAAUUACUGGGCGUAAAGGGCGCGUAGGCGGCCUGUUAAGUCGAACGUGAAAUCCCCGGGCUCAACCCGGGAACUGCGUCCGAUACUGGCAGGCUUGAAUCCGGGAGAGGGAUGUGGAGUUCCAGGUGUAGCGGUGAAAUGCGUAGAUAUCUGGAGGAACACCGGUGGCGAAGGCGACAUCCUGGACCGGUAUUGACGCUGAGGCGCGAAAGCCAGGGGAGCAAACGGG
rnacentral:rRNA from 1 species